GUCUAUGGCCAUGCCACUCUGAAUAAGCCCAAUCCUGUCUGAUCUCAGAAACUAGGUAGGGUUGGGCCUGGUUAGUACUUGGAUGGGAGACCACCUAGGUGUAAAAAAUAAGGGAUUGUAAACU
ensembl:rRNA 5S_rRNA 5S ribosomal RNA